rnacentral:lncRNA from 1 species
GCCGGCUGAGUAGUGUACAUUAAAUUGAUUGUUUCAAGUCAGAAUUUUUAGUUGAAAGAGUAGUUUACAUUAAAUUGAUUGUUGUAGUCAAAGUUUUGGGUGUAAAUAAAUAUACACCAUCAUCUUCAUUUCAUUUUCGCGUCUCAACCCCAUCUUUAACAUUCUUGAAGUCUCUUCUAGAUCGAUUCUUCGUUAUUUCUCAUUUCUGAAUUCUCAUUCCAGAUUUGUAAUGAUCGUUCCUUGAUAUACGACGAUUCAACUAUGGAUUUAUGUUAUUUCUCCAUUCAAUUUGUUAUUGUUCUUGUUCAGAUUUGUUGCAGUAGCCUUUUUUCUAUGGAGUUCGGGUGAAAAUCGCUUUUGGUUCUAUAGAGAUUUGUUGAGGUAUGCUAUAGAUCCGAUUUAUUUCGCUUUUGUAAGGAUGGUCUUCACAUUGCAUGCUGCCAUCACCAGAAUCUUCUUGGAGACCUUCCAUCACCAUUAAAAACAGGUUUGAUCUGGUUUUUAUUCUGCUAUCGCCGGCUCAGAUUUCUGGCCUUUUAAUGCAUUUUGAUUAAUGGUUUCACUGUUUCGUUUCAUUGUGCUGGAUUGAUUCAUCAUGUUUCAAACUGUAUGAUUAGUCCAUCUGGUCUAGUCAUAAGAUUAUGAUAGUAAUUCAUGGAGUUUUCCGUAAGACUACGGCGGUUUGUAAUUUUAAGAUGAUGAAUCAGGACUUGAGAUAAAGAAGACGAUGAGUUUAUUCGGAUGAUUGAGUUGUAAUGAGAGAAAAUUUAAAGUUAAGAGUUUUGAUUUUGCGAUUUUUCCCAAGAAGAAAUAAAAGAGGAAGAUGGGGAGAACACAAUUAUUUGAUUCUGUUUGAUUUUUUUAAUGUUUAGUUAUGAAUGUUGUCUUUAUAUAAAGGAAAAAAUGUUUAGUUUGACAGAGA